rnacentral:rRNA from 1 species
GUCUGGUGCCAGCAGCCGCGGUAAUUCCAGCUCCAAUAGAGUAUAUAACGUUCCUGCUAGUUAUUCGAUGCUCGUAGUUGGAUUUCUGAGGUUGAGACGGAGGGUGGCUAUGGCCAUCGCCCGACUCUUUCCUCAUCCACCUGUUUGCGAAGUCCGGGAUUGAUUUCUCGGCUUCGGGCGCAGUAUCUUACCAUUUCAAUAUUCGUAGUCUUCAUCGAUUAUGUUGUUUCUUUGAGCAAAUUAUAGUGUUUCAGGCAGGCGUGCGCCGGAAUACAUUAGCAUGGUAUAAACGAAUUGGACCGUGUGCCCGUAACUGGGCUUCUCCUUAUUGUUGGUUUGAAGGACACGGAGAUGGUUAAUAGGGACAGCGUUUAUUUCACAAGGAGGCAUUAGUAUUUAAUUUCCAGAGGUGAAAUUCUUUGAAAUAUUAAAGACUAACUUAUGCGAAAGCAUCGUUUGCCAAUGAUG